rnacentral:sRNA from 1 species
UAGUUCAAUGGAAUUGCCGCAGUAUU